rnacentral:rRNA from 1 species
GUAGGGUGCGAGCGUUAUCCGGAAUUAUUGGGCGUAAAGAGCUCGUAGGCGGUUUGUCGCGUCUGUCGUGAAAGUCCGGGGCUUAACCCCGGAUCUGCGGUGGGUACGGGCAGACUAGAGUGCAGUAGGGGAGACUGGAAUUCCUGGUGUAGCGGUGGAAUGCACAGAUAUCAGGAGGAACACCGAUGGCGAAGGCAGGUCUCUGGGCUGUAACUGACGCUGAGGAGCGAAAGCAUGGGGAGCGAACAGGAUUAGAUACCCUGGUAGUCCAUGCCGUAAACGAUGAAUGCUAGGUGUUGGAGGGUUACCGCCCUUCAGUGCCGCAGCUAACGCAUUAAGCAUUCCGCCUGGGGAGUACGACCGCAAGGUUG